rnacentral:lncRNA from 1 species
UUUUUUUUUUUUUUUUUUUACCUUCAUUGGUUUGGGCACUUCUUUUUAAAAUAAGAAAAAACUUUUAUUGAGGUAUGAUUGACAUACAACAUUAUAUCAGUUUCAAGUGUGUAACACAGUGAAUCGAUAUCUGUCUAUGGCACAUUGGUCACCCCAACACUUCUAGCAAACAUCUGUCACUGUACAGAAUUGCAGUUUUUUUCUUGUGAUGAGGCCUUUUAAGAUUGACUCUCUCAUGGUGAACAUCUUGAUCCAAAACUUCAAGCCUUUCUUCAGCUCUGAGAAAUUGUUUCCUAUUUUUUUCUUUCCAACAUCCUCUUGAGUCUGCCUUUCUGGUUGUAUUAUACAGAUACAGAGUGCUGGAGCUCUGUCUUCCAUGCCUCUUGCUUUUUUUCCCCUGCAGGUUGUCCUUUGUUUCACACCUUUGACCUUGAAGUUUUUAGUUGGUGAUCUGGUUUCCCCACCAAGUUUACCCUGUUACUCACUGCCUCUGUUAAUCCUUCUGUUUUGUCCAUUGUGCUCUGAAUUUCAAAGACUAUUCCCCCCUCUUCUCAUAUAGUUCUUAGGUCACAAUAGUUUGUUUUUGCUUUUAUGACAUGUAUUUUGUUACUUCAUAAAAUCAAUAUUCCUGAGGAUACACAUUAAAAUUUAAUUUUUCCUCCUGGUCCCUCAGAGCCUUUUUUUUUUUUUAAUUAAAGGUCAUUUAUUCUAAUUGCUCAACUUAUUGGGAUGCUGAAUGUCCUCAUAUCUUUUCUGCCCACUUUUAUGAAUGGAGGUGCAGGUGCCUCUCUGUGGGUGGCUGGUGGAGGUCCUUGCACGGCUGCCUCGGUUUGGUCCCUGAGCUGUCUCCUCCAGGAGCAGAGUCCAGCUGGCACAGGGAUGGGAGGGGAGGCUCGGUGCAUAUAGACCGAAGCAGAUUAACCCUCCCCUCCCCUCCUCCUACAUCAGGGUAUGAUGGAGAAGCCAGACCCCAACUGCAGCCAAUACAGAAAGAUCAGGGGAGAGUCCUGGUCCACAGAAGCUGCAUGUGGGACCCAGGGAGAGACCUCUAACCUCCUUCAUCAGCUCUCUGAUGCCCAAUUGCUCUUGUGGUCUCCUGAGAGUGUUUGGGUUAGGAUGGAGGAAUGUUUUAGAAAGCAAAACAAAACAAAAAACCUAGAAUAUUGUUCUUUUGAGGGGUUUUCAUCUCCAUGCACAGUUGCUAUGGUGGUCCCAAGGGUCCCCCCUCCUCGCCCUCCUUGGCCUCGUGCUGUGCGAGCAGUCCCCCAGAGCAAACGCGGUCCAUUUCAGCAGCAGGUGUGCAUGAGGCCUUGCGGUAAACAGAAAGCUGCCCUGGGUGAGGCCUGCCCGGCGCUUAGACUACACGUUUCCCCACCUCCCCACGGCCGAGUGCUCCAGCCUUGCUGCCAGGGCUCAGUGCUCCGACCUGGGUGCUCUGUCGCUCUGCUGGGGGCAGUGACACCCGCUCCUGGUAGGUAGGGGCCAGCCUCUGACACCAGGGCUGAGCACUCGGGCAUAGACUGCCAACCUACUCUCAUCUGCUUCAUGUCUUCCAGAAAUCCCAACAGCCCUCAGCCCACCUGGACACCCCGAGGACACCCUGACUCAGUUUCUAGCACUGCUACAUUUAGAGUCUGUGUUUUGUUUGGUAAUUUCAGCGGGAAAUAUAGAGCAAAGGGAAGGAAAGGAACAAUCAAUUCACCAUUUUUAAAGGAGCAAGACUUUCCCCCAUCUUGCUUAUUUGUCUAUUAACUGAUUUAAUAGUUAAUAAUAGCCCUCAUAUUUUACUAAACUAGGGUUCGUGGUUUAUUGAGUUUUAUAGAGUGCACAUUGCAGGUGCUAUUUCAAAUUUACUUGUUUUGUGAAAUACAUCAUUUCCUACAUGUUUCCCCUGACUUUUAAAUUUCAGCUUCUUCCUGGGGCACCUGGGAUUCAUAGUGUAAAUCCUGCAAGUAUGCAAACUGUGCUGAUUUCUCCAAGCAGGGCCAGUGAUGCUCAACUUUCAGACUCUAAAAUCCAGUGUGCCUAGGGACGUCUGUGGGGCUCAGCGGUUGAGUGUCUGCCUUUGGCUCAAGUCAUGAUCCCGGGGUCCUGGGAUCGAGUCCUGCAUCAGGUCCCCGCAGGGAGUCUGCUUCUCCCUCUGCCUAUGUCUCUACCUCUCUCUGUGUCUCUCAGGAAUAAAUAAAUAAAAUCUUAAAAAAAUAAAUUUCAGCUUCUUCCUUAAUGUUACAAAAACAAGACAAACACAGUAACCUUGAAAUGUAAAGAAAAUAACUUCUGUUUCCUAUAGCAGAUGGAAUGUCCUUUGGAGGCACUUACUGUGAUGAGGAGUGGGAGACCCUUAUUAUCAAUACCAUGUCUUUCACAUUAUGUUUUUUCAUGUUUAUCUUUUAAAUUGAUCAGCAUUAAAAUUUUUAUUCUGCCUGAGUGUACUUACACUCAAAUAAGUUGAUAUCCUUGUUACAAAAAAAUUUUUUUAAAUAAUAAUACUUUGGGAGAAGGGUUGACUUUGUCUGAUAUCUCUGGACGUAUUUCUGGGGAAUCUAGGCAGAAUCAUUAAAAACAAGUAAAUUGAAUAGAUGUAAAUUUUUAAAAAAUUUUUGGGUAUAAAAUUGCUGAACAAUUAUAUUGUACACCUCAAACUAAUAUAACUCUAUGUUAAUUAUGGCUGAAUAGAGAAAGGAAUAAAAGAAAGAAAAUUUUAGGCAAAAAAAAUGUUUUUGGACAGUGUGUGAUCUGAUUGCAGUACUAUCGACAGAGUCCUUCCACUUUAAAAAGUCUCCUUUGAGUUUUGAUAUGUGUGUCCCACUUCCCAGCCCCCAGGGAUGAUCCCAGUGAAUUGCUUCCUUAGGUGAACGUGGGGUGUUCAUGCUCCCUCCUCCCCAAGCAGACAUCUGGGGACCUGAGGGUGUCCCUGGCGGUGGGCGAUGACCAGUCCUCAGAUCCAUGCAGUGUUCUCAGGAUCUGUACUGGCUUCUGUUUCCCAGAUGACUAUGGCUGGGCUGUGCUGGUCCCUCCUGGACCCUGCUUAUAUCCAGGUCUCCGUGCACAGAACUCCUUCUCACCCCACUCUGGGCCUUGGUCCCUCUCAGGCUCACGUCCCGGGAUGCAUGUUGACGUCUGAAUGCCCCGCACAUGGUGCACAGGCGGCAGGGAAAUGGGAACACAGUCUCAAGACUUGCCGUCCCUGCGCCAUUUGUCCUGCACAUAGGGGCCACAGGUGGGCUCACCCUAGGGUCCUGCAGCUUCCCUCGUGGCAGGUCCAGAAGUGAGCUCCUGGCCCCUUCCAUGUAGCUGGGUAUCUCGAGAGCUCCUCAGGUGAGACCCUGAGACUGGGGUGAGGACAGGUUGGGACUUCCAACAGUCUCCUGGGCUGGAGGGACUGUCAGGCCUGCUGUCUUCUCUACAUGAGUGCUCCAUGCCUGCCUUUGAAAUUACUGGUUCACAUUGGGGGACGCACAGACCCUCAGAGGCAGUGCUAGGAAAUGCUCAUAGCGAUGUGACAUUGUGGGGACAUCCAAGUGUAUGUUAACAGACUCUCUCCUUGAACAGGACACAGGCGAGCCAGGUGUGAGGCACGCGGUACAUGCUGAGUAUUGCUCAUGCACGGUAAAGCCAUGUGUGAGUCCAUGACACAUUGGAGAUUUAGGGAAGAAGCCAGCUGGAUAGUCUGAGAAGGCCUGUCUCCAUCAUAAUCUGCUUCCAUCCUGCGGCCUCAAGCUCAGUGGCCUGGGGGUGUGGGGACAUCCUCUCUCUAGGACAGAAACUCUGGGACUUUGACAGUUUAAUGGAAAUUAAAGCAUGCUAGAACAUCCUCUGUUCCCUCGGCAUUCUGGCUCCCAAGAGCAAUACUGACUUGGCUAACAAGUUCCACUAUAGGGUAUGGCAGUCAAAAGCUGAAUGGGAGGACACCUGGGUGGCUCAGUGGUUGAGCAUCUGCCUUUGGCUCAGGGCAUGAUCCUGGGGUCCUGGGAUCGAGUCCCACAUUGGGGUCCCCACAGGGAGCCCACUUCUCCCUCUGCCUAUGUCUCUGCCUCUCCCCUUGUCUCUCAUGAUUAAAUAAAUAAAAUCUUUUAAAAAAUUUAAAAAGCUGAAUGGGGCCUUUCUGUUU